GGUUCUAAGUGCCCACCGUGUGUUGACUCAAUCAGUUCUCACAAGAGCCCUACAAGACAAUCAUAAGCCUGGGGCUGGAUGGCGAGUGCCAGUCUAACAAUGUGAAUAUGAGACGUUAACUGCGAUCCUGUGAAUAAUCAACCUGAGGCUGUCAGCUCAACAAGGUCAUCAAGUACCAUCAAGGAUCCAGGUCCCACUACCCUGCUGUAUUGCCAUCCUCAAAGGACUG